GAGUGGAUCCUGAGUACGGCGGAACACGUGAAAUUCCGUCGGAAUCCGGGAGGACCAUCUCCCAAGGCUAAAUACUCCCUAGUGACCGAUAGUGAACCAGUACCGUGAGGGAAAGGUGAAAAGCACCCCGGAAGGGGAGUGAAACAGUUCCUGAAACCGUGUGCCUACAAGUAGUUAGAGCCCGUUAAUGGGUGAUAGCGUGCCUUUUGUAGAAUGAACCGGCGAGUUACGAUUUGUUGCAAGGUUAAGCGGAAAAAGCGGAGCCGUAGCGAAAGCGAGUCUGAAUAGGGCGCAUAAGUAACAGGUCGUAGACCCGAAACCAGGUGAUCUACCCAUGUCCAGGAUGAAGGUAAGGUAAUACUUACUGGAGGUCCGAACCCACGCACGUUGAAAAGUGCGGGGAUGAGGUGUGGGUAGCGGAGAAAUUCCAAUCGAACUUGGAGAUAGCUGGUUCUCUCGGAAAUAGCUUUAGGACUAGCCUCUAGGUAAAGAGUCAUGGAGGUAGAUCACUGUUUGGACUAG
rnacentral:rRNA from 1 species